GACGAACGCUGGCGGCGUGCUUAACACAUGCAAGUCGAACGGAAAGGCCCUGCUUGCAGGGUACUCGAGUGGCGAACGGGUGAGUAACACGUGGGUGAUCUGCCCUGCACUUCGGGAUAAGCCUGGGAAACUGGGUCUAAUACCGGAUAGGAGCCAUUUUUAGUGUGAUGGUUGGAAAGUUUUUUCGGUGUAGGAUGAGCUCGCGGCCUAUCAGCUUGUUGGUGGGGUAACGGCCUACCAAGGCGGCGACGGGUAGCCGGCCUGAGAGGGUGGACGGCCACAUUGGGACUGAGAUACGGCCCAGACGCCUACGGGAGGCAGCAGUGGGGAAUAUUGCACAAUGGGCGCAAGCCUGAUGCAGCGACGCCGCGUGGGGGAUGACGGCCUUCGGGUUGUAAACUCCUUUCGCUAGGGACGAAGCUUUUUGUGACGGUACCUAGAGAAGAAGCACCGGCUAACUACGUG
rnacentral:rRNA from 1 species